AUUGAACGCUGGCGGCAUGCCUUACACAUGCAAGUCGAACGGCAGCACGGGAGCAAUCCUGGUGGCGAGUGGCGGACGGGUGAGUAAAGUAUCGGAACGUGCCCAGUCGUGGGGGAUAACGUAGCGAAAGUUACGCUAAUACCGCAUACGAUCUAUGGAUGAAAGCGGGGGAUCGCAAGACCUCGCGCGAUUGGAGCGGCCGAUAUCAGAUUAGGUAGUUGGUGGGGUAAAGGCUCACCAAGCCGACGAUCCGUAGCUGGUCUGAGAGGACGACCAGCCACACUGGGACUGAGACACGGCCCAGCCUCCGACGGGAGGCAGCAGUGGGGAAUUUUGGACAAUGGGCGAAAGCCUGAUCCAGCCAUGCCGCGUGCAGGAUGAAGGCCUUCGGGUUGUAAACUGCUUUUGUACGGAACGAAAAGGUUUGGGCUAAUAAGCUGAGCUCAUGACGGUACCGUAAGAAUAAGCACCGGCUAACUACGUGCCAGCCGCCGCCGUAA
rnacentral:rRNA from 1 species